AAAUUGAAGAGUUUGAUCAUGGCUCAGAUUGAACGCUGGCGGCAGGCCUAACACAUGCAAGUCGAGCGGUAGCACAGAGAGCUUGCUCUCGGGUGACGAGCGGCGGACGGGUGAGUAAUGUCUGGGAAACUGCCUGAUGGAGGGGGAUAACUACUGGAAACGGUAGCUAAUACCGCAUAACGUCGCAAGACCAAAGUGGGGGACCUUCGGGCCUCAUGCCAUCAGAUGUGCCCAGAUGGGAUUAGCUAGUAGGUGGGGUAACGGCUCACCUAGGCGACGAUCCCUAGCUGGUCUGAGAGGAUGACCAGCCACACUGGAACUGAGACACGGUCCAGACUCCUACGGGAGGCAGCAGUGGGGAAUAUUGCACAAUGGGCGCAAGCCUGAUGCAGCCAUGCCGCGUGUGUGAAGAAGGCCUUCGGGUUGUAAAGCACUUUCAGCGGGGAGGAAGGCGNUNAGGUUAAUAACCUUGGCGAUUGACGUUACCCGCAGAAGAAGCACCGGCUAACUCCGUGCCAGCAGCCGCGGUAAUACGGAGGGUGCAAGCGUUAAUCGGAAUUACUGGGCGUAAAGCGCACGCAGGCGGUCUGUCAAGUCGGAUGUGAAAUCCCCGGGCUNAACCUGGGAACUGCAUUCGAAACUGGCAGGCUAGAGUCUUGUAGAGGGGGGUAGAAUUCCAGGUGUAGCGGUGAAAUGCGUAGAGAUCUGGAGGAAUACCGGUGGCGAAGGCGGCCCCCUGGACAAAGACUGACGCUCAGGUGCGAAAGCGUGGGGAGCAAACAGGAUUAGAUACCCUGGUAGUCCACGCCGUAAACGAUGUCGAUUUGGAGGUUGUGCCCUUGAGGCGUGGCUUCCGGAGCUAACGCGUUAAAUCGACCGCCUGGGGAGUACGGCCGCAAGGUUAAAACUCAAAUGAAUUGACGGGGGCCCGCACAAGCGGUGGAGCAUGUGGUUUAAUUCGAUGCAACGCGAAGAACCUUACCUGGUCUUGACAUCCACAGAACUUNNCAGAGAUGNNUUGGUGCCUUCGGGAACUGUGAGACAGGUGCUGCAUGGCUGUCGUCAGCUCGUGUUGUGAAAUGUUGGGUUAAGUCCCGCAACGAGCGCAACCCUUAUCCUUUGUUGCCAGCGGUUAGGCCGGGAACUCAAAGGAGACUGCCAGUGAUAAACUGGAGGAAGGUGGGGAUGACGUCAAGUCAUCAUGGCCCUUACGACCAGGGCUACACACGUGCUACAAUGGCAUAUACAAAGAGAAGCGACCUCGCGAGAGCAAGCGGACCUCAUAAAGUAUGUCGUAGUCCGGAUUGGAGUCUGCAACUCGACUCCAUGAAGUCGGAAUCGCUAGUAAUCGUAGAUCAGAAUGCUACGGUGAAUACGUUCCCGGGCCUUGUACACACCGCCCGUCACACCAUGGGAGUGGGUUGCAAAAGAAGUAGGUAGCUUAACCUUCGGGAGGGCGCUUACCACUUUGUGAUUCAUGACUGGGGUGAAGUCGUAACAAGGUAACCGUAGGGGAACCUGCGGUUGGAUCACCUCCUUACCUUAAAGAA
rnacentral:rRNA from 1 species